CUUCCGUUACACCGUUAAACACAAAUAAAAAAACCCAAAAAAAGAAAAAAAAAAAAAAAGAACUCAAUCAAUACCAUUCAAAACCCCUUCAACUUUUGGAUUCGAGAGAAGAAAAAAUAAUUUGAAAUCUUGGAUUUUCAGUUGAAGUUUUUGGGAGGAUACUACAGGAUGGAACAUGAAUUGUUGGUGUAGCAAUUCACUGGGCGAAUUAGAUUUAUGCUCGAUGACAAUGUAAGUAACCCAAGUUACUUUUAGGUUCUUGGUUUGAAACUGUACGAACUUACAGGAUAAUUUGCAGCCUUAUUCAAUCGGCCAUUUACUUGCUUAUGUAUUGAGUUGGUGACCUUUAAUUGAUGCUCUGAAUCAUUUGUUGAUUUUCAACCUGACAUUGGCAAACUUCAGGUACUACAACAUCUACACGAAAUGAUUAGUGAUUUUUUUAAAUAUUUUGACUAGGUAUAUGUGAUGCUUGAAUCUUUCUUUCUGUUUAAGUUGUCCUAACAUAGAGACUGUAAGUCUUUCUUUGUGUCAUGUAACCAUUCAUUCGUUUACUAAUACUAUGAAAUUGGAAGAUCUAACAACUUGCAAAAAUGGUUUCUCCUAUGGAUAUUUGUUUCCGCAGUAUCAACUCUUCAUUCUUUUUCUUUCUAUUUUGGAUGGCUAUGAAACGGAGAUCCCAAAAGUUGCAAAAGUGGUUUAACUAUACAUUUGAGUCAUUUAUGAUGACCUUCCAGGUAGUUUGCAAUCUUUUACUGGAUCACAUUAAGAAUGUUUCGACGAAUCAAAUUACCUAAUCACGAAAGCUAUAUGUUAUAUGAUGUAAACCCAAAUUAGGAGUAUGUCUGCAUUGACCUCUCCAUUUAUCCAACUAAAGGUUGGAUAACCCACAAAGCAAAAAGUUUGUCUAUUACUUUGAUUAAUUAACUUCUAAAUUCAUUUGGUUUUCGGUUCAACCCUCAUGGUGGUAAUAUAUAGUGAGUUUUAACUUUUAAGUCCUUGAUUUAUCCAACAUUUAGAACUUUGUGUGCAGAGUUUAGACCCUGCACGUUGGGCUAGAGCCUAUAGGCCACUCUUUAACCAAUCUCAUCAUAUGAGGGUUCUUGAUGGUCUUUUCUCUAUGCAUAAUUAGACAUAACCACACAUAUAAGGUGCAACUGAUUUCAUUCGCAUGCUAAUUAUGGUGAUAAUUUUUUAAAAAAAAAUUCGGGCUAUUGUAUCAUGUUUGAUGAGUGGCAAUCGACAAGUUGAAGUGUUCCCUUAUCACUUGGUGGCAGCUCAAUCCUCGGGCAGAAGUUCAACUUCACAUGAUGCUGAAAUUUGCACUCAAUUUACACAUAUAUAACAGGUCAGGGAACUAAUAUCUUUGUCUUUGAAAAAUUAUUCACAACUUUGUUGAAAUAGCCUAAGGUUCAAAAUAAUGCAUUUUGAUGUGCUUCCGGAUAUUGUUGGUGUUCUGACCACCAAAAUCUUUUAUACUUUCCUUUCGUCUUUCCUUUCUCUUCAGCUGUUUUUCCAUUUCGUACAGACCCGCAAAUCGCCAAUCUGUUGAGGUGUUGGUUUUAGUUGUUUCUUUGUGAAUUUGCUUGGUAUUACUUGGUAUCUCUCCAAUUAUUUGGCUAUUUUGUCUCUGUUAAUUGUAAAAUAUGCGUGUUCUUCUUAUUUGUAUUCUACUGUCUUAGAUACUCUCCCUUAUUUGGUUUACGACGUAUUAUAUGCAGUCUGCGAAUUCGAAUAUCAAAUAUAUCCAAUUAUAUAUACAAUAAAGCAGGUGCAAUGUUAGUUUCUGUAGACGCUUAUGUUGUCAAUUCUAUAAUACAUGUAUUUAUAUCGGUCGUUUUUUUUCCAAAGAAGAGUGUAUAUUUAUGUGUACCUCAAUAUAUGUUGCUCAAAUACAUUAAUUCUCCCCAUUGAAAUAUGUUUUACAUGCAAGGAAAUGACCACAUGAAGGUGAUUGAAGGGUUUGAAUACGAAGCCUACAAUAUUCAUUGCCACACUCAUCCCCUACAAUGUUGUACACAUGAUGGCAGUAGCAGCUCCCCAAUGUUGGCUAAGGUUAGAAUAUUCACACAUACAGCGUCCUGUGUAUAAUAUUUUUUAGAAGUUGCAGACAAUUUGGCGAAAGAAAAGAGUGACCAGGACAAGGUCAGUGUACGCCCAAGUCAGAUGUCAACCAUGUAAAUGAUUAUUGUUCCCCCCUUUUCUUCUGCAAAUCAUUUAGAGAGCUAUGAACAUGCAAGGUUCUUCCUAUGAGGAUGUGUUUUACUGUAAUGUUUUAUGAAUCAUAUACGAACAAUUAAGCUCUAAGUUGGCUAAAUUAGACGGAUCUGUGGGUUUCCUUUGGUUUAGUUAAAUUUGUAAUCCUUUAUAGCUUUUAAUUUAGGGAAUUACAGGUUUCCUUUGGUUUAGUUAAAUUUGUAAUUCUUAUAGCACAUUUAGCUUCUCAAAGGCAUGACACAAUCUAAUAGUUUAACGUAACUAUA